rnacentral:lncRNA from 1 species
UGGCAGCUGGCGGCGGCCACGCUCGUCGGGAUGCAGAGCAUGCCCGGGCUGGUGGUGCUCUACGGGAGCAUCGUCAAGAAGAAGUGGGCCGUCAACUCGGCCUUCAUGGCUCUCUACGCUUUCGCCGCCGCCCUCAUCGUGUGGGUCCUCGUCGGCUUCCGCAUGGCCUUCGGCGAGCGCCUCCUUCCCUUCUGGGGCAAGGCCGGCCCGGCCCUCAGCCAGGGCUACCUCGUCGGCCGCGCCCGGAUGCUGGCCACCCCCCACCACUUCCGCAACGGUACGCUGGAGAAAGGGAUGGAAGAGCCCUUCUACCCCCAGGCCUCCCUCGUCUACUUCGAGUUCACGUUCGCGGCCAUCACGCUCAUCCUGCUCGCCGG